rnacentral:antisense_RNA from 1 species
UUGGAAAAGUAUAAACCUAAGGCAUCACCUUUACAGAAAAUAUCUUCCACGGAAACAUCUAAAGGCAAAAAUCCUUCAAAUUCAAAUUUAUCCAAUCAUUUCUUCUGCUUACUACCAUCCUAAAUCAUUUUUCUUUAGUAAGAUCUAUUAGUGGGAAGCUAUUAAGCUAUUAAUGUAUCAUAUUAAUUGUAUUCAGAUAUUAAGUGAGGAGGUAAAGUUGCAUUCACAGGCCUUGAACUUUUCCACAUCUCGAUUUUUACCCAUCAUCUCUGAAUAGUUCCCUAAGGCAGCCUUCAAAUGGUGAUGUUUCUUAUAAUCCAGAGUUCAGAAGUGGCUUCUCUUCAAUCUUUCUGUGGAAUUCUAAACCAUGUGAUAAAGGAGCUGGUGGUGAGAAAUAAGGGAAGGCAGAGAUGAAAAGGAAUGGGCAGAAGCUUUUGGAGAGGAAUAACCACUGAGAUUGCCAUGAAAGAUUCAUUCUGACAUUCUUUUCAUGUAUUUAAUGCAAUCAAAAAAGAAUCCACAGCUAACCACAGCCAGAUUUCCUUCUGCACCAGAGCCUGUGGAAGCGCCACAGUGGAAGCAGCAGAGACUGGAAGAGCAGGCAAGAAGCUGGGAGCUUUGCACUGAACCAGGAAGACACCACAGCUCUUAGGCAAAGACCCGGAAAGGUGUCAACAUGGCCACACUACUGCUCCCACCUUGUCCUUACUUUCCUCAUCUCACCCCCACAGGCCACAGAUCAGCCCUGGGGUUCAGAGGGAUCCUGACGGCUACUCCUCAAGAUCCUCUCUGUUGUGAUUCAUCCCCCCCGGGCCCUACAGUUUCUCCUUCCUGACUCUUACAUUUCUUUGGAUGGCAUCAUUAUUUACCUGUCUCCUCCCAUAGUUAGGUGCCAAGCACUGUGGAUUCUGCCCCUCAGUGUCCAGACACCCAUUU